rnacentral:lncRNA from 1 species
GUGGGAUCCUUAGAUUUUUUUUCGUGCAACAAGGGCGACGCAUAUUUAUUAUAUUUUAACGUCGUCUCUUUCUUGUUAAAUCAUACAUUAUCUUAGCCAAAACCCCUUUCAAAAGUCAACCAAAUUAAAAAUGUAUUCAAUUAGCAUGAUUAGCUCUCGUUCUAGGACUAAAUCUAAACCACAAUAUAUUUUAACAAAUCACAAU